ACUAUGUUAUGUAUGUAUACAAGCAAUAUGACUCAUGGCAUCGUGUCGUGAUUGGCUGUGGAGGGUCAGGUGACGUGGUCAUGUGAUCUCUAUGUUGUUUACAUUUACAUUUAGUAGACGCUUUUAUCCAAAGCGACUUACAUAUGUGCGACUUACAAUGUAUACACAUUUUACAUUUUACAUUUACACUGAUGGCACACUGCACAUCAGGAGCAAUUAGGGGUCCAGUGUCUUGCUCAAGGACGCUUCGACAGGGAAUUGAACUAGCAACCUUCUGAUUACUAAACGACUUCUCUACCCCCUGUACCACUGUCGACCUUAGGGGCCUGCUGGGCUGAAAGGGGGAGAAGGGCCAGUCGGGGCCGCCGGUCCUGUGGGUCCUACUGGUGAGCGAGGGCCCCCAGGAAGAGUUGGUGCAAUCGGUCAGUCUGGGCGCACUGGCACUAUCGGUGGACCAGGAGCCGCAGGAGAGAAGGGCGAACCAGGAGAGAAGGGUCCAAUCGGACCAGCGGGUGGGGACGGCGAUCAAGGACCAGUAGGACCUCUUGGAGCAUCCGGACCUGCUGGACCACCAGGAGAGGAUGGAGAUAAGGUAAUUUGUGUGUUUGUGUGUGUGUGUGUUUGUGUGUGUGUGUGUUUGUGUGUGUGUGUGUGCGUGUGUGUGUGUAGGGGUGGUGGUGUGUGUGUGCGUGUGGGGGGAGAUUUGGUGGUUGUGUGUGUCGGGGGGUUGUUGUGUGUGUGGGUGUAUGUGUGUGUGUGGGUUGGUGGGUGGAUGGAUGUCUGCAUAUAUCUGUGUGUUUGUUUAUUUGGCUGCAUGAAUGUAUUAAUCUUUUCAUUUGUCACCAGUUAUUUAUGUUGGAUGU
rnacentral:lncRNA from 1 species